rnacentral:piRNA from 1 species
UUGUGGAUACUGACUUGUUAAUGAGGC